rnacentral:lncRNA from 1 species
AUUUUAUUGAAAAGUGGGUUCACAUUAACCAGUUGCGUGCUUGUCAUCCUAAAUCUCAAUUAAGGAUUAUAGGUGUGGAUUCAGACGCAGAAGGGUGAACGACUAACCUGGAUGAAUGCUUGAUUAACGUGGUAUAGUAUGAUGUGAAAUGUUGUGAUGUGCCAUGAUCUCAUGUACGUUCAUGUCAUUAACCAUUUCCUUGCCAUCCAAUAACUACAUU